GACGAACGCUGGCGGCGUGCUUAACACAUGCAAGUCGAGCGGUAAGGCCCUUUCGGGGGUACACGAGCGGCGAACGGGUGAGUAACACGUGGGUGACCUGCCCUCAGCUCUGGGAUAAGCCUGGGAAACCGGGUCUAAUACCGGAUAUGACUCCAUGACGCAUGUUGUGGGGUGAAAGCCUUGUGCGGCUGAGGAUGGGCCCGCGGCCUAUCAGCUUGUGGUGGGGUGAUGGCCUACAAGGCGACGACGGGUAGCCGGCCUGAGAGGCGACCGGCCACACUGGGACUGAGACACGGCCCAGACUCCUACGGGAGGCAGCAGGUGGGGAAUCUUGCGCAAUGGGACGAAAGCCUGACGCAGCGACGCCGCGUGAGGAUGAC
rnacentral:rRNA from 1 species